GUGCCCGUAGCUCAGCUGGAUAGAGUGUCUGACUACGAAUCAGAAGGUCGGGGGUUCGAGUCCCUCCGGGCACGCCA
rnacentral:tRNA from 1 species